rnacentral:rRNA from 1 species
UACGUAGGGUGCGAGCGUUAAUCGGAAUUACUGGGCGUAAAGGGUGCGCAGGCGGCGUCGCAAGUCAGGCGUGAAAUCCCCGGGCUUAACCUGGGAACUGCACUUGAAACUACGAUGCUGGAGUAUGGCAGAGGGAGGUGGAAUUCCACGUGUAGCGGUGAAAUGCGCAGAUAUCAGGAGGAACACCGGUGGCGAAGGCGGGUCUCUGGGCCGAUGCUGACGCUGAGGAGCGAAAGCGUGGGGAGCGAACAGG